rnacentral:rRNA from 1 species
AGUGAACGCUGGUGGUAGGCCUAACACAUGCAAGUCGAACGGCAGCACAGUAAGAGCUUGCUCUUACGGGUGGCGAGUGGCGGACGGGUGAGGAAUACAUCGGAAUCUACUUUUUCGUGGGGGAUAACGUAGGGAAACUUACGCUAAUACCGCAUACGACCUACGGGUGAAAGCAGGGGAUCUUCGGACCUUGCGCGAUUGAAUGAGCCGAUGUCGGAUUAGCUAGUUGGCGGGGUAAAGGCCCACCAAGGCGACGAUCCGUAGCUGGUCUGAGAGGAUGAUCAGCCACACUGGAACUGAGACACGGUCCAGACUCCUACGGGAGGCAGCAGUGGGGAAUAUUGGACAAUGGGCGCAAGCCUGAUCCAGCCAUACCGCGUGGGUGAAGAAGGCCUUCGGGUUGUAAAGCCCUUUCGUUGGGAAAGAAAAGCAGCAGGUUAAUACCCCGCUGUUCUGACGGUACCCAAAGAAUAAGCACCGGCUAACUUCGUG